AACGAUAAAUUGUGCAUACUGACCUUUUCCUCUGAUACUUCAAGGGAUUUCAAGUUGUUGCCAACAACGCGGAGUUCCUCCUCCAGCUCCACAAUUUUGCUGUUAAACAAGAAAUUUUUAAAUAAUCAAAUAGAGAAAUACUAUUUAUGUAUAUUCACAAAAAAAUUGCAGCCAAUUUUUGGAGAAAAAAAGAAAAUUGUCUAAUUACGAACUCACUUAUUAUGUGAAUUACUGUGUUAAAUUAUUAGGGGACAAAAUCACAGCCUUGAAAAGUAUGAAAUGCAAAAUUUGCUGCCGACAACGACAGUUUUGUUUGCGGCCAACGUCAACGAGUGCCUUAAGUGACACUAAAAAAUGGUGUCAACAAAUCAAAUUCCUGACGUUAGCGCGAAAAAACGGCAAAAUAGAUUAGCCAACAACUCAAAAGAAAUUAGGAAAAAUAUUAAUAUUUGUUUGUGGUAUUUUUUUAAACGGCGAAUGAAUAAAAAUUGUACACAGUUUAUAAUAUAUUGAUGAAUCGUGCAUGAAAUUUUUCAAAACCAAGUGACACUUGAAUUUCUGUUAUCCAUUUUGCUGACAAAAUUUAUUUGUGUUUAUUUGGCAGUCACUUUCAAAUCUGCCAGCGUCAAAAAAUAAAACAAAAUGCAGACGAAAAUAUGUAGUAAUUCCGAUCAAAUGACUGGCAACUCUGCAGGAACCAGCGAAUCAUCGCCAGAUGCUCAUUAUUAUUAAUACGAAGCGCGUGAAUGUGUGUGUGUGCACAGUUGGCGUUUCACCGUUUUGGCAAAAUAACAAUAAGGAGAAAUCUCGGCACAAAAAAAACCAAAACAAAUAAAAAAUAUGUUAAAAAACCACCGCAUAGCAAUGAGAUGAUUUCAAUAGAUGUGCCAGCUCAAGCUGCUCACCAUUUGCGGUAGGAAUUACUUUUACACAUGCGCUUUCUGAAGAGAAAUAUCAUUUGAUAGAAAAGAAAAACCGAUUUCAAGUGUACUGCGUUUAAAACAAUUAAGCCAAAAAAAAUUUUGGUUUUGCAAAGACGUGACUGCGUCCGUGUAGCGGAGUGGUAAAGGCAUACUCGAAAAAAUGACUGAAUGAUCACCAUUAUGGAUAUUCAAACAUUUUUUUUUUUUUGAAUCAAAAAAGGUCAAUUUGAAAAUUGGAAUUAA